rnacentral:rRNA from 1 species
AUUGAACGCUGGCGGCAGGCCUAACACAUGCAAGUCGAGCGGCGAGGCGGAAGGGUGGGGGAUGCCUAGGAAUCUGCAUGGGAGUGGGGGAUAACGUACGGGAAGGGGCCCUAAUGCCACAUACUUUCAGAGGAGUUUAGGGGGGAUUAGCUAGAUGGUGGGGUAAAGGCCUACCAAGGCGACGAUCCGUAACUGGUCCGAGAGGAGGAUCAGUCACACUGGAACUGAGACACGGUCCAGACUCCUACGGGAGGCAGCAGUGGGGAAUAUUGGACAAUGGGCGAAAGCCUGAUCCAGCCAUGCCGCGUGUGUGAAGAAGGUCUUCGGAUUGUAAAUCACUUUAAGUUGGGAGGCGUUACCUACAGAAUAAGCCACGGCUAACUUCGUGCCAGCAGCCGCGGUAAUUC